rnacentral:tRNA from 2 species
AGGGGCGUAGCAAAUCGGUUAUGCGGCGGAUUCCAAAUCCGUUGAGGUGGGUUCGACUCCUACCGCCCCUG